GACGAACGCUGGCGGCGUGCUUAACACAUGCAAGUCGAACGGAAAGGCCCUGCUUUUGUGGGGUGCUCGAGUGGCGAACGGGUGAGUAACACGUGAGUAACCUGUCCUUGACUUUGGGAUAACUUCAGGAAACUGGGGCUAUUAUCGGAUAGGAGCUCCUGCUGCUUGGUGGGGGUUGGAAAGUUUCGGCGGUUGGGGAUGGACUCGCGGCUUAUCGGCUUGUUGGUGGGGUAGUGGCUUACCAAGGCUUUGACGGGUAGCCGGCCUGAGAGGGUGACCGGCCACAUUGGGACUGAGAUACGGCCCAGACUCCUACGGGAGGCAGCGGUGGGGAGUAUUACACAAUGGGCGGAAGCCUGAUGCAGCAACGCCGGGUGCGGGGUGACGGCCUUCGUGUUGUAAACCGCUUUCGCCUGUGACGGAGCGUGAGUGACGGUAAUGGGUAAAGAAGCACCGGCUAACUACGUG
rnacentral:rRNA from 1 species